GUGGGGAAUCUUGCGCAAUGGGCGAAAGCCUGACGCAGCCAUGCCGCGUGAAUGAUGAAGGUCUUAGGAUGGUAAAAUUCUUUCACCGGGGACGAUAAUGACGGUACCCGGAGAAGAAGCCCCGGCUAACUUCGUGCCAGCAGCCGCGGUAAUACGAAGGGGGCUAGCGUUGCUCGGAAUUACUGGGCGUAAAGGGCGCGUAGGCGGACAGUUUAGUCAGAGGUGAAAGCCCAGGGCUCAACCUUGGAAUUGCCUUUGAUACUGGCUGUCUUGAGUACGGGAGAGGUGAGUGGAACUCCGAGUGUAGAGGUGAAAUUCGUAGAUAUUCGGAAGAACACCAGUGGCGAAGGCGACUCACUGGCCCGUUACUGACGCUGAGGCGCGAAAGCGUGGGGAGCAAACAGGAUUAGAAACCCUAGGAGUCC
rnacentral:rRNA from 1 species